rnacentral:rRNA from 1 species
GACGAACGCUGGCGGCGUGCUUAACACAUGCAAGUCGAACGGAAAGGCCCUGCUUUUGUGGGGUGCUCGAGUGGCGAACGGGUGAGUAACACGUGAGUAACCUGCCCUUGACUUUGGGAUAACUUCAGGAAACUGGGGCUAAUACCGGAUAGGAGCUCCUGCUGCAUGGUGGGGGUUGGAAAGUUUCGGCGGUUGGGGAUGGACUCGCGGCUUAUCAGCUUGUUGGUGGGGUAGUGGCUUACCAAGGCUUUGACGGGUAGCCGGCCUGAGAGGGUGACCGGCCACAUUGGUACUGAGAUACGGCCCAGACUCCUACGGGAGGCAACAGUGGGGAAUAUUGCACAAUGGGCGGAAGCCUGAUGCAGCAACGCCGCGUGCGGGAUGACGGCCUUCGGGUUGUAAACCGCUUUCGCCUGUGACGAAGCGUGAGUGACGGUAAUGGGUAAAGAAGCACCGGCUAACUACGUG